CGUAGGGUGCAAGCGUUAAUCGGAAUUACUGGGCGUAAAGCGUGCGCAGGCGGUUUGUAAGUCUGACGUGAAAUCCCCGGGCUCAACCUGGGAAUUGCGUUGGAGACUGCAAGGCUGGAGUCUGGCAGAGGGGGUAGGAAUUCCACGUGUAGCAGUGAAAUGCGUAGAGAUGUGGAGGAACACCGAUGGCGAAGGCAGCCCCCUGGGUCAAGACUGACGCUCAUGCACGAAAGCGUGGGAGCAAACAGGAUU
rnacentral:rRNA from 1 species